rnacentral:rRNA from 1 species
UUGGAGGGCAAGUCUGGUGCCAGCAGCCGCGGUAAUUCCAGCUCCAAUAGCGUAUAUUAAAGUUGUUGCAGUUAAAAAGCUCGUAGUUGAAUUUCGGGGUUAGUAGGCUGGUCAUGCCACAGGUAUGCACUGGUCUUACUGAUUCCUCCUUCCUGAUGAACCGUAAUGCCAUUAAUUUGGUGUUGCGGGGAGUCUGGACUGUUACUUUGAAAAAAUUAGAAUGUUUAAAGCAGGCUAACGCUUGAAUACAUUAGCAUGGAAUAACGAAAUAGGACGUUCGAUCUUAUUUUGUUGGUUUCUAGGAUUGACGUAAUGAUUAAUAGGGAUAGUUGGGGGCAUUAGUAUUCAAUUGUCAGAGGUGAAAUUCUUGGAUUUAUUGAAGACUAACUACUGCGAAAGCAUUUGCCAAGGAUGUUUUCAUUAAUCAAGAACGAAAGUUAGGGGAUCGAAGACGAUCAGAUACCGUCGUAGUCUUAACCAUAAACUAUGCCGACUAGGGAUCGGAUGAUGUUAAUUUUAUAAUGACUCAUUCGGCGCCUUACGGGAAAC